rnacentral:tRNA from 3 species
GCGCGGGUGGCGAAAUGGCAGGCGCGCAACCUUGAGGUGGUUGUGGGAGCAAUCCCGUGGAGGUUCAAGUCCUCUCCCGCGCA